rnacentral:rRNA from 1 species
AGUGAACGCUGGCGGUAGGCCUAACACAUGCAAGUCGAACGGCAGCACAGUAAGAGCUUGCUCUUACGGGUGGCGAGUGGCGGACGGGUGAGGAAUACAUCGGAAUCUACUUUUUCGUGGGGGAUAACGUAGGGAAACUUACGCUAAUACCGCAUACGACCUACGGGUGAAAGCAGGGGAUCUUCGGACCUUGCGCGAUCGAAUGAGCCGAUGUCGGAUUAGCUAGUUGGCGGGGUAAAGGCCCACCAAGGCGACGAUCCGUAGCUGGUCUGAGAGGAUGAUCAGCCACACUGGGACUGAGACACGGCCCAGACUCCUACGGGAGGCAGCAGUGGGGAAUGUUGGACAAUGGGCGCAAGCCUGAUCCAGCAAUGCCGCGUGAGUGAAGAAGGCCUUCGGGUUGUAAAGCACUUUUGUCGGGAAAGAAAAGGAGCAGGUUAAUACCCGGCGUUUCUGACGGUACCGAAAGAAUAAGCACCGGCUAACUACGUG